GUUAUGGCUCAGUGGUAGAGAGCUCGCCUAGCACGUGUGAGGCCCUGGGUUCGAUCCUCAGCAUCACA
rnacentral:tRNA from 1 species